UACGUAGGGGGCAAGCGUUGUCCGGAUUCAUUGGGCGUAAAGAGCGUGUAGGCGGCCAGGUAGGUCGGUUGUGAAAACUGGAGGCUCAACCUUCAGAGGUCGACCGAAACCAUCUGGCUUGAGUCCGGGAGAGGAGAGUGGAAUUCCUGGUGUAGCGGUGAAAUGCGCAGAUAUCAGGAAGAACACCCGUGGCGAAAGCGGCUCUCUGGAACGGUACUGACGCUGAGACGCGAAAGCGUGGGGAGCGAACAGG
rnacentral:rRNA from 1 species